CGUGUAGGCGGCUUGUUAAGUUAAUUGUUAAAGACCUUGGCUCAACUGGGGAAAGGCAAUUAAAACUGGCGAGCUAGAGGGCAAGAGAGAGAAGUAGAAUUCUCGGAGUAGCGGUAAAAUGCGUAGAUCUCGAGAGGAAUACCGGUUGCGAAGGCAGCUUCUUGGCUUGUACCUGACGCUCAAGCGCGAAAGCGUGGGGAGCAAACA
rnacentral:rRNA from 1 species